GUUGAUCACGAGUUAGUCGGUCCUAAGUUCAAGGCGAAAGCCGAAAAUUUUCAAGUAAAACAAAAAUGCCUAACUAUAUAAACAAAGCGAAUAUAAUACACUUGAAUAAUUUUGAACGAAAGGGAAUACGGUUCCAAUUCCGUAACCUGUUGAGUAUCCGUUUGUUAUUAAAUAUGGGCCUCGUGCUCAUCCUGGCAACAGGAACGACCAUAAAGAAGCCGUCGAGAGAUAUCGGAAGAGUUUUCUUUUCUGUUUUAUAGCCGUACUACCAUGGAAGUCUUUCGCAGAGAGAUAUGGUAGAUGGGCUAGAAGAGCAUGACAUAUACUGUUGUGUCGAUAUUUUCUCCUCGGACCUUGAAAAUUUAUGGUGGGGACACGCAAACUUCUCAACAGGCCGUACCAAUAUCCGCAGCUGGUCUCCAAGGUGAAGAGUCUCUAGUCGAUAGAAUAAUGUAGGUAAGGGAAGUCGGCAAAUUAGAUCCGUAACUUCGGGAUAAGGAUUGGCUCUGAAGAUUGAGAUAGUCGGGCUUGAUUGGGAAACAAUAACAUGGUUUAUGUGCUCGUUCUGGGUAAAUAGAGUUUCUAGCAUUUAUGUUAGUUACUUGUUCCCCGGAUAGUUUAGUUACGUAGCCAAUUGUGGAACUUUCUUGCUAAAAUUUUUAAGAAUACUAUUUGGGUUAAACCAAUUAGUUCUUAUCAAUUAUAACGAUUAUCAAUUAACAAUCAAUUCAGAACUGGCACGGACUUGGGGAAUCCGACUGUCUAAUUAAAACAAAGCAUUGUGAUGGCCCUAGCGGGUGUUGACACAAUGUGAUUUCUGCCCAGUGCUCUGAAUGUCAAAGUGAAGAAAUUCAAGUAAGCGCGGGUCAACGGCGGGAGUAACUAUGACUCUCUUAAGGAAUCCGGUCUUAAUAAACCAGACCUGGUGGCACUACGACAAAAUCACAUUGAUGUGAUCGACAUACAAAUUGUGACAGACGGACACUCUAUGGAUGAUGCACACCAGCGCAAAAUCAAUAGAUACGACAGACCGGACAUACGAACUGAGUUGCGUCGCAGAUUCGAAGCCGCAGGUGACAUUGAAUUCCAUUCUGCCACCCUGAACUGGAGGGGGAUCUGGAGUGGUCAAUCCGUUAAAAGAUUGAUAGCGAAGGGUCUCCUCAGCAAAUAUGAUAGUCAUAUCAUUAGCGUCCAGGUUAUGAGAGGCAGUCUCGGUUGUUUUAAACAGUUCAUGUACCUGAGCGGGUUUUCCCGAGAUUGGACUUAGCUAAAACGUUUGGUUCAAAACAUUUGCUUGCUGUCUUGGCAUAACAUCAAUAAAGGCAUAAACAUCGCAAAUAAUGGUAAUAUAUAAAUUGGCUAUGAGGAUGGUUUUAGUACGUAGGCGUUGCGGAACUUCGGUUCAGAUAGAGCAAUGAAUCGUGCAUGCUAGGAAACUGAAGUGUUGACAGACCUAGUAUCUUUCGAUAGAUUUCCAUACCUCCGCGAUCAAAAAAAAAAAAAAAAAAAAUAGCCAAAUGCCUCGUCAUCUAAUUAGUGACGCGCAUGAAUGGAUUAACGACGGACGUGUUUUCGUUGCGCUCGUGUACAGAUUGCGAAGAACUUGGUUUUCCGU
rnacentral:ncRNA from 1 species